rnacentral:lncRNA from 1 species
GUCGCGGUCGGCCCACAGGCUGGGCACUAACGGGUCCCGGGGCGCCGGGGCGGACCGCGGAGGUCGUAGUGGACUAAUUUUACAGGCGAAGUUAAGUGACUUACCCAAAACCUCACAGCUAAUAAACGGCAGAGCCGGCACCCAGCUGUACUGGCUUCCAAUUCUGUUAGCUUACCAGCGCAUCACAUUAUCUCCAUAAAUCCCCAUGAUUCAACUAAUAUUAGACGCCCCACAGGUAAGAUGCUUCAGAGUUAGAGGGGAGUUGAAGAUACCUUUGCCUUCAAAGAAGUAAGGAAUAAAACAAAGAUAAAACAGACAAUAAAAGACAAACCAUGAUAGGUGCCACGUGAAAAGUGGCAGAGUACUGCCGGGAAUCAAAGAACCGUGUAUAUCUGUCUUGGGGAUAAGGAAAGAAAGGCAGCAUGAAGGAGUAGGCAUUUGGGAUUGACCUUGAAGGAGACAGGGAGAGUUUUACAGCAAGCAGGGAUAGCAUGAGAAUAUAUAUGAAGGCGAAUCAGUGAAAGUUGUGUUGGGGAAAGAGCAAAGACUCCAGGGUAUGUUGAGAGGUAGAAAAGACAAAGGAGUAUGGGGCCUAAGAUACCAAAUGGAUGAAUUUAUAUUUAAUUCAGUAUUUUGAGUUUUUAUGGUUCAGAAGUUUGGGGGAAGAAAAGGAAGGUUUUUUUUUUUCUUUGUGCUAGUGAUUUAUCUGUGAGGGGAAGCAGAAAUCAGAGGUGGAAAAACGGACAGAUCUACUGUAGGCCAGGUAAAAAUGAUGAGUCUGACCUAAAGGGACAGCUAGGGGAAUUUAAAAGAGCAUAGUUGAGAGAUGAUGUGCAUGCAGUAUCUAUAGAAUUUGGCAACUGAUUGAUUAAUUGUGGGUAGGAAGAGAGAAAUCAAAGAAAGUGGAGGUUUUGAGUUUGUAGAUAAUUGCAAGAGAGAAAAGAGACAAUUACAAAGGAGAGGGAGCUACUUCUUGAGAGAUCAGUUUAGAUUUGGACAUUUUAAGAAUUCAAAGGGUUGUCAAGACAGCCAGAGAGACAUGGACACUAAUAAGUUAGAAAUAAAGGUUUUGUAAUAUGGGAAAGAGGACUGAACUAGAAAAUAGACUCAUAAAUAAUCAGCCUAGGAGUGAUAUUGCUGUGAGAUAAAAGAAGAAAACAAAGGUCAGAAUCUUGGAAAACACCCUCUUUAGAGUCUCGCUACUCAAAACGUGGUCAGUGGCCCAGCAGCACUGACAUGAGGAUGUUAGUUAGAAACUCAGAAUCUCAGGCUCCACCCCAGACCUGCUGAACCAGCAUCUUCAACUUAACAAGAACCCGAAGAGAUUUGUGUCACAUCAAAAAGUUUGAGAAGCUCUGAUCUAGGUGAGCCAAGCCAGCAAAGAAAGGGGAUGGAGCAGAAAAUGGGAGGAGAAUAGGGUAACGCAGAAUCAUCAAGACAAGGUAAAUUGGAGUUUCACAAAAACAGGGCUGGAAGGAGUGUUGCUCAACAAUAUCCAAAACCACAGAGGUUGAAAAGCACAAGGAAAGAAGGUAUGUUUGCACUUUGUGAUUAGGUAGUAGGGUCUUUGAGACCACAUUGUUCUUAUUGAAAGCCUGGGAAGAAAGAUCCCCUUUCUGGUCAAGUUUAGUCUAGGGAUCCAUCCCAUCUUCCCCAGUUCCCACGUGUAUGGGACAUGUCGAGAUAAGUAGAUAGAUUGGACAGUGGGAGAAAGUAGUUCUCUUCCAGUUGCUUCUAUUUUCUCAGCAAAGUGAGGAGCAAGAUCAUUUUGGCAGACUGCUAAUUGUCCAUCACAAUUUAGUCUCCCUUUCUCCCUGAAAACACAGACUGCUUUUCUCAGCCUCUCUUUCAGUUGCAUAUGGUCAAGUAUUAAGUUAUAGAACGUGAGCAGAUGUUAUGUCUGCCACUGUCAGGCCAAGGCGUUUACUUUGAGAGUACUUGUGCCUCUUUCAUGCAUUUUCCUUUCUGCCAGCUGGACCCUGGACACGGUGACUCUGAUUCAAUUAUGCAGAUGACCACAAACCUCUGGGGUUGGCAGAGCCACAAGAAAGAAGGUGCCUGGAUGAAGGAGAGCUACCCACUGACCUGGACACCCAAUUAUAGGAUAGACAGUGAAGUGCAACUACAGCCCGCAAAUGAAAAUGAAUAAUAUUAAUCCAGCCCCUCAAGGCAGGCGAGUAGCUGCUGUCAUCUGUCUUAGAGCUAUUGGAAUCCUGGAUCAUUGUGGGAAAUGAAAGGAACUGGUUUUUAGCAAGGAGACCAAGAAACUCUACUCCCUAGGGGCUAGCAAUGAGAGAAAGGAAGCCUUAAGUCUUUGAGCACAGGGUGACAGUUUGGGUCCUAUGUGAGAUGAUCAAAUCCACAGCAACAGAGGAAAGGACAAAAGGAAAAGAUACUUCGAUGGAAUCAGCAGCCAUUGAUCCAAUGCCAACUCCAAGACUGGAACGUCGCAAUGAUAGUUCCAAGGCGGAAAUUUGACGUAAUUCUUUUCGACACAGUUUUACAGGCAUCUUGCAUGUGAAUAACUCACAACUUUAAUUCAUGGAACAAAUUGAGAAAUAGUCUUUUGGGGGUUUGGUACUCCCUGGAAACAUAAGAGUGCUUUGGGCACCUCUGGUGCCUUUCCAUGCCUGCCUUCUCUGCUGUUCUUGCUACUAGUGAAUUCUAAAUCAUGGCCAAGUGAUGCCAGCACUGGAUAAUAUUGGCUCUGCCCCAUAUCUCGAGGGAAAACUCUAGGACUUGGCAUUAUAUGUGUGGGAAUCUGGCCUUGGUUGGCACUCCCAGCAUGAUAGCGGGGUUCUCCUGUCUGAAUGUACUCUGGGGUGUGCGCCACAAUUUCUGUCAUCGAAAUGGAGAUGAGAGAAUAUGCCCUUGGUGGGGACACCCCACUGGAAUUAGAGUGAAGAGAUCAAAGCUAGAGGUUCUUAAAUCAAAGAAUAUCUAAUAGCAAAGACAAAAACUUGCUUAAGGGAAAUGCAUACAAGUACUAGACCUAAUAUGAUGAAAAAUGCCAACUUCAAUAUAUUGAUGCAUGCUUAGUACACUUUCAGUCCUGCAAAGACAAAGUUUUUUGUUGUUUUUUUUUUGAGACGGAGUCUCGCUCUGUCGCCCAGGUUGGAGUGC